CCUACGGGAGGCAGCAGUGGGGAAUCUUGUGCAAUGGACGAAAGUCUGACACAGCCACGCCGCGUGCGGGAAGAAGGCCUUCGGGUUGUAAACCGCUUUCAGCAGGAACGAAAAUGACGGUACCUGCAGAAGAAGAUGCGGCCAACUACGUGCCAGCAGCCGCGGUGAUACGUAGGCAUCAAGCGUUGUCCGGAUUUAUUGGGCGUAAAGAGCUCGUAGGCGGUUCAGCAAGUCGGGUGUGAAAACUCUGGGCUUAACCCAGAGCCUGCACUCGAAACUGCUGUGACUAGAGUUCGGUAGGGGAGCAGGGAAUUCCUAGUGUAGCGGUGAAAUGCGCAGAUAUUAGGAGGAACACCAAUGGCGAAGGCACUGCUCUGGGCCGAUACUGACGCUGAGGAGCGAGAGCGUGGGUAGCAAACAGGAUUAGAUACCCUGGUAGUCCACGCCGUAAACGAUGGGCACUAGGUGUGGGUCUCUAACCAACGAGAUCUGCGCCGUCGCUAACGCAUUAAGUGCCCCGCCUGGGGAGGUACGGUCGCGAGACAAACUACGAAAGAAGUAGACGGCGUGAGACGUAGACCGACGGACGACGACGAGGGAGGAGG
rnacentral:rRNA from 1 species